rnacentral:tRNA from 1 species
GGAGGAAUACCCAAGUCCGGCUGAAGGGAUCGGUCUUGAAAACCGACAGGGGUGUCAAAGCCCUCGGGGGUUCGAAUCCCGUACGGGUCAUCGA